GAAGCUACGUGGGAUUUGGGCUCUGUGGGGUUUGGGCUCUGUGGGAUUUGGGCUCUGUAGGAUUUCUUAGGAGGUUCUGUGGGGUUUGGGCUCUGAGGGGUUUGGGCUUUCUGGCAUCUCUCAGGAGGCUCUGUGGGGUUUGGGCUCUGAGGGGUUUGGACUCUGUGGGAUUUGGGCUCUGUGGGAUCUCUCAGGAGGCUCUGUGGGAUUUGGGCUCUGUGGGUUUUGGACUCUGGGAUUUGGGCUCUAUGGGAUUUGGGCUCUGUAGGAUUUCUUAGGAGGUUCUGUGGGAUUUGGGCUCUGUAGGAUUUCUUAGGAGGUUCUGUGGGGUUUGGGCGGGGGGGGGGGGGGGGGGGGGGGGGGGGGGGGGGGGGGGGGGGGGGGGGGGGGGGGGGGGGGGGGGGGGGGGGGGGGGGGGGGGGGGGGGGGGGGGGGGGGGGGGGGGGGGGGGGGGGGGGGGGGGGGGGGGGGGGGGGGGGGGGGGGGGGGGGGGGGGGGGGGGGGGGGGGGGGGGGGGGGGGGGGGGGGGGGGGG
rnacentral:lncRNA from 1 species